rnacentral:rRNA from 1 species
ACGCGAAGAACCUUACCAAAUCUUGACAUCCUUUGACAACUCUAGAGAUAGAGCUUUCCCCUUCGGGGGACAAAGUGACAGGUGGUGCAUGGUUGUCGUCAGCUCGUGUCGUGAGAUGUUGGGUUAAGUCCCGCAACGAGCGCAACCCUUAAGCUUAGUUGCCAUCAUUAAGUUGGGCACUCUAAGUUGACUGCCGGUGACAAACCGGAGGAAGGUGGGGAUGACGUCAAAUCAUCAUGCCCCUUAUGAUUUGGGCUACACACGUGCUACAAUGGACAAUACAAAGGGCAGCGAAACCGUGAGGUCAAGCAAAUCCCAUAAAGUUGUUCUCAGUUCGGAUUGUAGUCUGCAACUCGACUACAUGAAGCUGGAAUCGCUAGUAAUCGUAGAUCAGCAUGCUACGGUGAAUACGUUCCCGGGUCUUGUACACACCGCCCGUCACACCACGAGAGUUUGUAACACCCGAAGCCGGUGGAGUAACCUUUUAGGAGCUAGCCGUCGAAGGUGGGACAAAUGAUUGGGGUGAAGUCGUAACAAGGUAGCCGUAUCGGAAGGUGCGGCUGGAUCACCUCCUUU